AACGAACGCUGGCGGCAUGCCUAACACAUGCAAGUCGAACGAGACCUUCGGGUCUAGGGGCGCACGGGUGCGUAACGCGUGGGAACCUGCCCUUAGGUUCGGAAUAACUCCCCGAAAGGGGUGCUAAGGCCGCUUAGGCUCUUAGCGCAAAGGAUUUAUGGCUUUGGGAUGGGCCCGGGUUGGUUUAGCUGGUUGGUAGGGUAAAAGCAUGCCAAGGGGACGUUCCAUGGCUGGUCUGAGAGGAUGAUCAGCCACACUGGGACUGAGACACGGCCCAGACUCCUACGGGAGGGAGCAGUGGGGAAUAUUGGACAAUGGGCGAAAGCCUGAUCCAGCAAUGCCGCGUGAGUGAUGAAGGCCUUAGGGUUGUAAAGCUCUUUUACCCGGGAUGAUAAUGACAGUACCGGGAGAAUAAGCUCCGGCUAACUCCGUG
rnacentral:rRNA from 1 species